UAAAUCAUGGUGACAUUUCAAAUUGCAAAGUGGUAUUGAAGGGGUACAUUCAACUCAUGGUGACUUUUCAAAUUGAUUAAUGGUUGGAAUAUUAUUUCAAAAGUUUAAUUUCAAUGGCUCUAUAAAUACUAAUUAAAUAGCAAUACAUAUAGCAUUGAGAUGUAUCAAUGUAUCAUAACCACUUAUAUACAUCCUUAGGAGACAAAAUAAAAGUCAGAAAUAAUGGAGAAUAAAAUGCUUUUCAGCUUGUACUACUUUCUUAUUGUUUUCUUAGUUGCUCAAGAAGCAAGGGUGCAGAUUGAGGCAGCAUGUGACAUAAUAUUGCUUAGAUACAAAUAUGCACCAUGCAUUGAUUUCAUUGACAGCCUUUAUUGUCGCCGUGAAUGUGUUAGGGCGAAUAGACUAUUAAAGGAUGGUUGCUGCAUAAAUGGUAAAUGCACGUGUUAUGGUAAAUGCAUGUGACUAAAUGGCUUGAUUUUGUAUCCAAUAAGUAAACAAAA